rnacentral:rRNA from 1 species
CCUACGGGAGGCAGCAGUAAGGAAUAUUGGACAAUGCUCGCAAGAGUGAUCCAGCCAUGCCGCGUGCAGGAAGACGGCCCUAUGGGUUGUAAACUGCUUUUGAACUAGAGAAAACCCUCCUACGUGUAGGAGGCUGAUAGUAUAGUUAGAAUAAGCAUCGGCUAACUUCGUGCCAGCAGCCGCGGUAAGACGAAGGAUGCAAGCGUUAUCCGGAUUCAUUGGGUUUAAAGGGAGCGUAGGUGGACUGAUAAGUCAGUGGUGAAAUCUCUCGGCUUAACCGAGAAAUUGCCAUUGAUACUGUUGGUCUUGAGUACAGUUGCUGUGGGCGGAAUAUGACAUGUAGUGGUGAAAUACAUAGAGAUGUCAUAGAACACCGAUUGCGAAGGCAGCUCACAAAGCUGUAACUGACACUGAGGCUCGAAAGUGCGGGGAUCAAACAGGAUUAGAUACCCUGGUAGUCCGCACCGUAAACGAUGAUUACUCGCUGCUGGGAGGUAACGUUUCGAGUGCGUUAGCGAAAGCGUAUAAGUUAACUUCCGUACCGUUACGGGUUAGGUACGGCCGGCCGGACCGGACGGAACGUUACGAAGGAAGUUAGACGGCGNGAGACGNGCGACGGACGACGACGAGGGAGGUAGG